AGCUCCAAUAGCGUAUAUUAAAGUUGUUGCGGUUAAAAAGCUCGUAGUUGGAUUCUGUCGAAGACUUCUGGUCCAUACCAUGUAUGUGUAUCUAGAAAUGCUUUGGCAUCCUCUCGGUGCCGUCGCCGCCUUAAUUGCGUGGUACGGUGCCGAGACUUUUACUUUGAGGAAAUUAGAGUGUUCACGGCAGGCAAUCGUCA
rnacentral:rRNA from 1 species